CCUACGGGGGGCAGCAGUAGGGAAUAUUGCUCAAUGGGGGAAACCCUGAUGCAGCAACGCCGCGUGGAGGAUGAAUGUUUUCGGAUUGUAAACUCCUUUUGUUGGAGAAGAUAAUGACGGUAUCUAACGAAUAAGCACCGGCUAACUCCGUGCCAGCAGCCGCGGUAAUACGGAGGGUGCAAGCGUUACUCGGAAUCACUGGGCGUAAAGUGCGCGUAGGCGGGAUAGCAAGUCAGAUGUGAAAGCCUAUGGCUUAACCAUAGAACUGCAUUUGAAACUGUUAUUCUAGAGUAUUGGAGAGGUAGGUGGAAUUCUUGGUGUAGGGGGAAAAUCCGUAGAGAGCAAGAGGAAUACUCAGUGCGAAGGCGACCUGCUAGAACAUAACUGACGCUGAUGCGCGAAAGCGUGGGGAGCAAACAGGAUUAGAUACCCUAGUAGUC
rnacentral:rRNA from 1 species